UUGUUUUUAAAAUAAUACAGAAUGUGAAUAAUCCCUAAAAUUUCAGCCAUAAGGCUUUUAAUAACAUCCUUAUCUAAUAAAUUGCUACUGCAUCCUUAACUAUUUAAAAAUAUUGAGUUUGCCCGGGAAAAAGUUUCCAUACAUCACAUUCAGUCCAAAAGCUGCUUUCCUUUUUAUGUGAAGUUUCCUUUGCUAUCCACAGGUCCCCAAAGUGAUGUAAUCUUCCUCAUUAGUACCUGAAAAGCAU
rnacentral:lncRNA from 1 species